UGGCCUGCAAAGGCUUGGGUGUGUGUUAACUUUCUGAACUCGUGUAUCAUGGCUUGUGAAAUGCUUAUGAAAGCCAAUCUGGGCGUAUUCCUAGAACAGUGCACAGGAACACCAAUGUCAAUUCCUGGUGCAUAAAGUCUGAAGCUCAUUAGAGCUGUGUAACAUGUUCAGUGUGAAACCAGAAACCACGUGAAGCAUGCCUGGCUCACAGAAUGUGCUUAUAAAAUCAGAAGAACAAAGACUGUGUUCAUCCAAAGAGUUUUCUUAGGCUUGCAGAAAACUUUUUCAGCUGACCUUGGGAAACAUUUCAAAAUGCAUCUGGGCUGAUUUAUAGAGUUGUAGCGAAAGUUGGGUUUUUAAAAUGUGUGGUUUCCACAUUGUGCUGCUGCAUUCAAUGAAGUAAACAUCAACGCGUUCCAUCUGAGGUUUGGGCUGCUACUAUGCUGGGGCUCAUUUGAAAGGGUUGCCUUCUGUGACCUGCCUGGAAGGAAGACAAGGAUAGCAGCAAAGAUGCACCCAUGGAAUGUCGAAGGACCUUAUAAACACACCCCAGUGUUUCUUAGUGCACUGGAUUAGAGUAGGCAUAAUAUCAGGACUUAUCCGGUUCCGGGCCCCAGGGCUUCAGACAACUAACAAAACACAUCUUACUUCUGCUCUGGUGGUUCCCUGUUAUGUCUUUCACGCGCAGGAAGAAAGAGGAAGAGCAGAACCCAACCGAUUAAAGCGCCAUGACCCUGUGAUUCCUUUCUUAUGAACAAGCACAUGACAAGCCCCGGGGUAAGGACUCCGCAGCCCCUGCUACCACGUGGGAUGCUGAUGGAAGCCUUCCACUCUCCAAACCAAGUGUGCACAGCCUGGGACUCGCCAGGCAAAACACAGACCACCAGCCCCGAACUGCAGACAGUCAGGUGGUAAGCGACCCUUUGUCCCCACCUCCACCCUGCUUUUGAAGCUCCAGGCAGCCGGCCAAAAGAAAAGGGAUACAAAGAAUCUCGCAGGGCCUUAAAUCAUAGCAAAUUUAUUGAGGCAUGCAUUCGCAGACUUCAUUAGAUACCGAGAAAUGCUGAAGAUGUGGUGGGCUGCAUUUGGCUUGGUGGGUCGCAAAAUUGCACAUGCCCUGUGACUCAGUCAAGUUUCUAAAGGUAUACAAAGAUGGAAUUUUGAGGCAAGUUCCUGUGUUGGAUAAACAUCUGAAGGAGACCGAGGAAAGCAAAAAGCAUUUGCAUAAAACUAGCCUUUACAUUCAGCGUCUGUUUGUUAUUCCAUAUACCGGUGAAAAACUGCUGGGUAUUUUUUUGUAAUGUUGGUUUCAUUUCAUUUUAAAAUUUUGAAUGUGAAUCACCUUGAGGGUGCUUAGGUAAAAACAACAACAACUCUUACUUGAAGCAAAAAUAGGAACAAAAUAGGAACAAUGAUUUAAAGGUAAAGGUAAAGGGACCCCUGACCAUUAGGUCCAGUCAUGACCGACUCUGGGGUUGCGCACUCAUCUCGCAUUAUUGGCCGAGGGAGCCGGCGUAUAGCUUCCAGGUCAUAUGGCCAGCAUGACAAAGCCGCUUCUGGCAAACCAGAGCAGCACAUGGAAAUGCCGUUUACCUUCCCGCUGUAGCGGUUCCUAUUUAUCUACUUGCAUUUUGACGUGCUUUCGAACUGCUAGGUUGGCAGGAGCUGGGACCAAGCAACGGGAGCUCACCCCAUGACAGGGAUUCGAACCGCUGACCUUCUGAUCAGCAAGCCCCUAGGCUCAGUGGUUUAACCACAGCACCACCUGGGUCCCUAGUGAACAAUGAUUUACCAGUAACCAAAAACAGAGACUCUCCCUUGUAAAAGAGAACAGUUGGGACACACAACCAUUAACAGGAGGCAUUCAACACCUUGGCUUGAUGACAACACAAUGGAAACAGAGACUGUAGGAACAGAAUAUCAGUCAAAUUAAGGGGCCACUUAGGUCUGAAGGAAAGCUAUAAUUUGGUACAUCUUGGAUCUGGAGUGUCAAUAUAUGGCCCCUAGUGAAAUUAAGGAGGUGUGGCUGGUGUGGUUUUUUUGUUUUGUUUUUUGCCCUAUGUUUUUUAAAAAACCAUUUACAACAGAUCAAUAAAUUACAGGAAUGGAAAUCAAUAAAACCUCAACAUUUAAAUCCAUAAAACACAAUAAUGGUAAAUGCAGGAAGCCAGAUCUACAGUGCCAGAAUCCCAGGAGCAUAUGAUAAGGCCUGGUGGAAGAGAAAGAUUUCUAACAACUUUCCUAAAAUGUCAAAAAAUGCAGCACUGGCGCUUCUCCUUUGGGAGGCUGUUCUGCAGCAGAGGCAGGGCACAAACUCUAGGGGGCCCUAGGGGCCUGGGCACCCUCAAUUUCCUUUCUGCGGGUGCCCAGCCUUCGCCCCCUGCUGCCACUGCCAGCUGUCACCUUACCUCUGGCACUCUGGUGCCCCGGUGACAACUGGGCCAGGCCCUGCACCUCUGACAGGCUUCUGGGGUGCAUACAUGGGUGCAGGGGCCCCCAAUAAAGGCCCCGCGGCAGAGUGCAAUCCCUGGUCUAUUUGCUGCCAUGGUGCUGGUACUGUGCCAUCAUGACAUUGUGAUGUGAUGUGCCAUCGUGAUGUCACGUUGUGUCACAACGUCAUGACAUCACAGCAUGCAUGCUGGGCAUCCACAUUGUGGGGCCCAAGUCAGCACCGCUGCAGAGGGGUUACCACUGAAAAGCCCUAAUCUAAGUGUUUUCUAAAUUUCUUUCAGAAAGGGUCUUCUCUCAUUCCCCCCCCCCCAUUUCUUUUUUAUUGAGGCAUGUCAUACGAAACAACGCAAUAAAAAUAAUAGAUGUACAAAUACAAAAAAUCAGCACUUGAAUCAGUUGAAUACUUAAGACCAUUAGGAAAACCAAAUUUCACAUUGUACCCUGUGUGUUUAUUGUAUUUAUGAUAAAAUCCCACCAAACGGAAGAGCCUUUUUCAGCAUCCUCCAAACCUAAAUCAUAUUAUACCGUCCUUAGCUUGAAUCAUGUUAGACCCAUCAGUUGGAUAAAACUGCUAAUUUGCAAAUGGUGGCAUGUGACUACGGGUCUUGCCUCCUAGUCCUAACUAUUUCACCUUCGUCCCUGCAGUUUUAGAGCAGUCGGUUGUGAUCCUGCUGCGGUGGGGAAAAAGUCAAGUGUGCCUCAUAUUUCCCAUUUCUUCACAAUACAACAUCUGAUCCGGGAGCUGUGCAAGCUCUUUCUGUGCCUGGAGUUUGUGCCCAGGUGGGGGAAAUGAGGAGGCUGUAUUGCAUAGGAGCCUGGGUGCCUGGACAUUGUGCUCCUAGGCAAUAAAAUAACAUUCAAAGUUGUUCUGAUCCCUGUUUUGCAUUGGCAUGUUUGGUAUAGCAGAGCUGCUUGAAGACGGCCACAACCCCAGAUUUUUCCUCUUCAAGUUUCACCUCCACCAUGAAUUCACGAGAUGUAUCAAUCCCUCACCUGCAAAUUGGAGAGAAUAGUAACAGUGACCUACUUUUCAGUGAGAUAAUGACGUAUGUGAAGCAAUUUGAACAUUUAAGUGCACUUUCCAAAUGCUACGUAUGGCUAUAGCAAAUUACCUGCCAGUUCAUCCCAUUUUAAGCAGCCAGACAUCUGAUUAAUUUACCUUUUCCAGACCGGUCAGAUUUUACUGCUGGUUUAUUUGAUUUGACUGCCAUCAUUGCUGAUUUUAUCAUUGCUUUUAUUUGAUUGCUCAGUGUUUUUAAGUUGCUUUGAUAGAUUGCUUCAAUUGUAUUUUAGUGGUUGUUAUUUUGCCCAUGAAAUGCCUUGUGGGUCUGGUAGAGACUGAAAGACAGGAUUUAAGUUAAACAAACAAACAAACAAAUAAAUAAAUAAUACAAACUUGUUCCAAGGCCCAGGCUGCCAAAAGCCCUCAUCUGUUAUUGAGCAUCUAGCACUGUGUGAUAUUUGGCAACUGAAAACAAAAACCAUUUAAUAAAAACCAUGAAUAAUUGUCACUUUAUUGUGCACACUCUUUGGGGGGCUGUGGGUCUCCCAAGUUCUCCAGGGUCUGUCCACACAGGUGGCGACUCGAUGGAUCAGAUCCUGUCACCCUGCAGCUCUUUCAGGCACAGUGUGCUCCAGACACACAGCUGACAAGCAUCAGCUUGGUGCCUUUGACAAAUGCUCGCCAUGAUAGCCAAAUUAAACUUCCAUAUGUAGAUAUCUGUGAGUACAAAGGGCUGGUAACGAAAGGGGAUGGCUAUCAUUUUCAUGCCCUGCUUAUGAGCUUCCAUAGUUAUCUAGCUAUUGUCUACCUUUCCGUUUUCUGGCAUCUGCAAGAGGGAAGAUGUUGUUGCUGCUGUUUGCAAUGCAGAUCAGAAGAAUUGUUGCGCACUGUACAGUAUGCUUGCUCUCUGCUGUCAGUUUAGUUGCCCCCCAGGGUCUUCAUUCAAUGCAUCUCUCCAAGAAGUAUAGGGCAGAUGUGGAUCACGGUUGCAUAUUCCUUGUCCAUUCAGAUACAUAUGAGUCCUUCUUUGCUUCAUGAAACUCCCAAUAAUAUUCUCAACCUGCCUGCCCAUUCAUGACAGCCAUGUGCAACAGAGAAUAUUUAAUGUUUCACAUUGGGAUGAGAAAGUAAUGAAUAAUCACACCAUACCUACUUUCUAGGGGGGGAAAACUGGCAACAUCCUAGCAAGGAGUGGAAGGAUCCUUGCUAUUUCUGACAGAUCCAUUGUGGAAUCUUUCCUUUUCAGUGGCAAUAUAUGUGUUUUCCCUCACCUUCUUGCAAAAUGAGCCCUCUGGAACUUUCUACUCUUGAAGAGCUACUUCACUUGAAGAUGAAAUGGAUCUGAAGUACUUUGGAGGGUAUUUAACUUUGUUGCUCUUUGCUUUCCACCUUCCCUUUUGAGGCUGCUACAUGUUAUUCAUUAAACUUACAGUUUCUCUCUUGCCUCUUCUUUUGAGUGUGACUUAUGACCUUGCAAUCUCUCUGUGUGUGUUUUGUCAUCACAACAUGUUUCCAUGGAGCUGGAUCUGAUGUCAUGAAUAAGAGCAUUGUUUCUUUCAUUCUCUCUUUUCUCCCCUAAGUUCCCAAGCAUAUUUGUGACACAGGUUUGGAAACCAAAAUGACUUCACCGGUUAAAUAUUGUUAGAUUCUACAGUGUAACAAAGGUAAGAAUGGUUGGCAUGCUGUAUUCCUCUCUGCAUGAAUUGAGGGUUAGGUAUUUCAAAGCAGGUACACAAAGGAGUCCCCAGGGAUGCCAUUUCACAAGCUUAAGCAUUAUGUUAGAGGGAUGAAUCGUUGGAUCACCCAGAUCAUGAGGUUCUGUGGCUCAAGCUACAUGGAGAACCUGGGACCGCGGAAUGAAAAAAGUAGGCUAUAGUCCUUUGCACAGUUACAUAGAAAAAGCUCCCGCUGAAAUCAGAGGACCUUGCUCACUGUGAACCUUCUGUUCUUAAUGAAAUGUCAGGGCAGGUAUCAGGAACAGGUCAGCAAUAACUCACAAGGCCUCAGUGAAGUUAACUCUUUAUUCAAAGAGACAAAGCAGCUCACAGCAAAUCUUCCUAGUAGGUAUUGCCUCAAUGAGGCAGUUGUGAGAAUGGAAGGUCCCCGCAUUCCCACUACUCUCUAACUCUCCUGGUUCCUUUCCAACAGGAGUGCCAACUUGGCCCCGCGACUGUGGGUGCAAUGCAGUGUGCAUGGCCCUGGGACUGAAAUUUGUGGGUGCCAGGCCCCUUCAUGGGGAAUUUUGUGGGUGUUUGGGCAUCUAUGUUCCCAAGUAAUCCAAGGCUCCUUCAUCCUGUCUGGCUUCACCUUCUUCAAACCUAUUUACCAGUAGGUAGCCGUGUUGGUCUGCCGUAGUCGAAACAAAACAAACAAGUUCCUUCCAGUAGCACCUUAGAG